rnacentral:rRNA from 1 species
AUUGAACGCUGGCGGCAUGCCUUACACAUGCAAGUCGAACGGUAACAGGUUAAGCUGACGAGUGGCGAACGGGUGAGUGAUAUAUCGGAACGUGCCCAGUCGUGGGGGAUAACCGCUCGAAAGAGCAGCUAAUACCGCAUACGACCUGAGGGUGAAAGCGGGGGAUCGCAAGACCUCGCGCGAUUGGAGCGGCCGAUAUCAGAUUAGGUAGUUGGUGGGGUAAAAGCCUACCAAGCCAACGAUCUGUAGCUGGUCUGAGAGGACGACCAGCCACACUGGGACUGAGACACGGCCCAGACUCCUACGGGAGGCAGCAGUGGGGAAUUUUGGACAAUGGGCGCAAGCCUGAUCCAGCAAUGCCGCGUGCAGGAAGAAGGCCUUCGGGUUGUAAACUGCUUUUGUCAGGGAAGAAAUCUUCUGGGUUAAUACCUCGGGAGGAUGACGGUACCUGAAGAAUAAGCACCGGCUAACUACGUGCCAGCAGCCGCCGUAACAC